GAUGAAGAACGCAGCGAAAUGCGAUACGUAAUGUGAAUUGCAGAAUUCAGUGAAUCAUCGAGUCUUUGAACGCACAUUGCGCCCCCUGGUAUUCCGGGGGGCAUGCCUGUCCGAGCGUCAUUGCUGCCCUCAAGCACGGCUUGUGUGUUGGGCCUCCGUCCUCCUCCCGGGGGACGGGCCCGAAAGGCAGCGGCGGCACCGCGUCCGGUCCUCGAGCGUAUGGGGCUUCGUCACCCGCUCUUGUAGGCCCGGUCGGCGCUUGCCGACACAUCAAUCUUUUUUCCAGGUUGACCUCGGAUCAGGUAGGGAUAUCCGCUGAACUUAAGCAUAUCAAUAAGCGGAGGA
rnacentral:misc_RNA from 1 species